GAUGAAGAACGCAGCGAAAUGCGAUACGUAAUGUGAAUUGCAGAAUUCAGUGAAUCAUCGAAUCUUUGAACGCAUAUUGCGCUCUCUGGUAUUCCGGAGAGCAUGCUUGUUUGAGUAUCAGUAAACACCUCAACUUCCAUAUCUUUUUUGAAAUGGGAGUUGGACUUGAGUGAUCCCAACGCUUUUCCUCACCGAAAAGUGGCGGGUUACUUGAAAUGCAGGUGCAGCUGGACUUUUCUCUGAGCUAUAAGCAUAUCUAUUUAGUCUGCCUAAAAAACAGAUUAUUACCUUUGCUGCAGCUAACAUAAAGGAGAUUAGUUCUUGUGCUGACUGAUGCAGGAUUCACAAAGACAGGCUUCGCCGACUUUGUAAACUCGAUCUCAAAUCAAGUAAGACUACCCGCUGAACUUAAGCAUAUCAAUAAGCGGAGGA
rnacentral:misc_RNA from 1 species